CCGUUGAGGGUGCAAGGCCCGUGCGGCUCUUGGCGUCCGGAGGACGGUUUUUUUCUCCCGGGAGUCGGGUUGCUUGGGAGUGCAGCCCUAAGAGGGUGGUAAACUCCAUCUAAGGCUAAAUACUUCCACGAGACCGAUAGCAAACAAGUACCGUGAGGGAAAGUUGCAAAGAACUUUGAAGAGAGAGUUCAAGAGUACGUGAAACCGCUCGUAGGUAAACGGGUGGGCCCUCGAAGGCAAGCAGGAGGGGAUUCAACCCGUUGGCAAUCGACCGUGCGCCGCGGUUUUUCUCGAAACGGAUCCGAGAGACCGGCCCGUGGCGCCGCGGUCGUCAGCGGGCGCACUUCCCCUUCUCGCGUCCCGUCCUUUUAGGGCGGGACCGAACGCCGCGACCGGUCGGGAGAAACGACGGCGGCCAAGCGGCGAGAUUGGGCAGGUAUCCUACUCGUCCUUUCUGUUUUUCCCUUCGGGGUUGGCAGGAUGGCUUGUAGGAGAGCUUUCAGCCCGUCUCGACCCGGCUCCGCCGCCCGACCGUGGUCUAGAACCGAGGUUCGACAACCGCGCAUGCGCUUUGACGCUCGAGCCCGUCCCGCACGUAGGGUUUUCUGGCCGCCGAUAGACCCAUAAAACCUCCCCCCCGCUCACGGCGGUUACACGAAGCGGUCGCCCUGCGUUGUGUUUAGGACGUGUGCUCUCGUUUUUUGUUCCAAAAAAAGCAGCGCUUGUGGUCGGCGGCGAGUAGGUCGGUAACCCACCCGACCCGUUCUUGAAACACGGACCAAGGAGUCUAACAUGUGUGCGAGUCGUAGGGUUCGUUCGAAACCCGAAGGCGCAGUGAAAGUAGAGGUCGGCUCUAUGCUCGGCCGAGGCAGGAUCCGUCGUUUAUUUUUCCUUUUACCCGGGCACAUUCCCCUAACUCCGGUUAGGGUGUGUGUUUUUUUGGUCUGUAACUGGAAGUCGGCGGCGCACUGCCGGCCCGUCUCGACCGCCACGUCGGUGAGGCGGAGCAAGAGCACACACGUUGGGACCCGAAAGAUGGUGAACUAUUCCUAGGCAGGACGAAGCCAGAGGAAACUCUGGUGGAGGUCCGUAGCGUUUCUGACGUGCAAAUCGAUCGUCAGACCUGGGUAUAGGGGCGAAAGACUAAUCGAACCAUCUAGUAGCUGGUUCCCUCCGAAGUUUCCCUCAGGAUAGCUGGCUCUCGAGACACACAGUCUCAUCCGGUAAAGCGAAUGAUUAGAGGCCUUGGGGCCGAAACGACCUCAACCUAUUCUCAAACUUUCAAUGGGUGAGAAGUCCGGCUUGCUCGACUGAAGCCCGGACGAUAACGGAUGCGAGUGCCCAGUGGGCCACUUUUGGUAAGCAGAACUGGCGCUGUGGGAUGAACCAAACGCCGGGUUACGGCGCCAAAUGCGACGCUCAUCAGACACCAUGAAAGGUGUUGGUUGCUAUAGACAGCAGGACGGUGGCCAUGGAAGUCGGAAUCCGCUAAGGAGUGUGUAACAACUCACCUGCCGAAGCAACUAGCCCUGAAAAUGGAUGGCGCUCAAGCGUCGAGCCUAUACCCGGCCGCCGGGGCAGAGCCCGUCCAAACGGCCCCAGAAGCCCCGGCGAGUAGGAGGGUCGCGGCGGUGAGCGGAAAAGGGUCGGGCGCAGGCCCGCCUGGAGCCUCCGCCGGUGCAGAUCUUGGUGGUAGUAGCAAAUACUCGAGUGAGAACCUUGAGGACUGAUGUGGAGAAGGGUUCCAUGUGAACAGCAGUUGAACAUGGGUCAGUCGGCCCUAAGGAAUAGGGAAAUCCCGUUCCGAACGGGGGGUUGGUAUAAGAAAAAUUGAAAUAAUAAACCCCCGCCCAGACCGAAAGGGAAUCGGGUUAAUAUUCCCGAACCCGGACACGGAGAUCGGGCCCUUUGUGGUCCAGUGCGGUGACGCAAACAUCCUCGGAAACGUCGACGGGAGUUCCGGGAAGAGUUGUCUUUUCUUUGUAAGGGACGGAAUCCCUGGAAUCGGUUCGCCCGGAGAUAGGGAUGUGGUUUCCGUAAAGCACCGCGCCUCCUGCGGUGUCCGGACAGCUCUCGUCGGCCCUUGAAAAUCCGAGGAAGGUAGUGCGAUUUUCGUGCCGGGCCGUACCCAUAUCCGCAGCAGGUCUCCAAGGUGAACAGCCUCUAGUCGAUAGAUCA
rnacentral:rRNA from 1 species